rnacentral:lncRNA from 1 species
AAUAUUUAAAAAGAAAAAUAAUUUAUAAAAUAUUAAAAGGACAGAUAAAAAGGAUGAAAUUAAGAUUGUAAUAAUAAUAAUGAAAAUGAGAGUAAUAAUAAUGGUAGUAGCAAUAAAAAAUACACUAAGAAAUAAAAAAAAACUAUUAUAAAAUGGGUGAAAUUAGAGUUAUAAUAAAAAUAAAAAUAAUGAUAAAUAAAUAAAUAGUCCAAAG